AGGGCGCACGGUGGAUGCCUUGGCACUAGAAGCCGAUGAAGGACGUUACUAACGACGAUAUGCUUUGGGGAGCUGUAAGUAAGCUUUGAUCCAGAGAUUUCCGAAUGGGGAAACCCAGCAUGAGUUAUGUCAUGUUAUCGAUAUGUGAAUACAUAGCAUAUCAGAAGGCACACCCGGAGAACUGAAACAUCUUAGUACCCGGAGGAAGAGAAAGAAAAUUCGAUUCCCUUAGUAGCGGCGAGCGAAACGGGAAGAGCCCAAACCAACAAGCUUGCUUGUUGGGGUUGUAGGACACUCUAUACGGAGUUACAAAGGACGACAUUAGACGAAUCAUCUGGAAAGAUGAAUCAAAGAAGGUAAUAAUCCUGUAGUCGAAAAUGUUGUCUCUCUUGAGUGGAUCCUGAGUACGACGGAGCACGUGAAAUUCCGUCGGAAUCUGGGAGGACCAUCUCCUAAGGCUAAAUACUCUCUAGUGACCGAUAGUGAACCAGUACCGUGAGGGAAAGGUGAAAAGCACCCCGGAAGGGGAGUGAAAUAGAACCUGAAACCGUGUGCUUACAAGUAGUCAGAGCCCGUUAAUGGGUGAUGGCGUGCCUUUUGUAGAAUGAACCGGCGAGUUACGAUUUGAUGCAAGGUUAAGCAGUAAAUGUGGAGCCGUAGCGAAAGCGAGUCUGAAUAGGGCGUUUAGUAUUUGGUCGUAGACCCGAAACCAGGUGAUCUACCCUUGGUCAGGUUGAAGUUCAGGUAACACUGAAUGGAGGACCGAACCGACUUACGUUGAAAAGUGAGCGGAUGAACUGAGGGUAGCGGAGAAAUUCCAAUCGAACCUGGAGAUAGCUGGUUCUCUCCGAAAUAGCUUUAGGGCUAGCCUCAAGUGAUGAUUAUUGGAGGUAGAGCACUGUUUGGACGAGGGGCCCCUCUCGGGUUACCGAAUUCAGACAAACUCCGAAUGCCAAUUAAUUUAACUUGGGAGUCAGAACAUGGGUGAUAAGGUCCGUGUUCGAAAGGGAAACAGCCCAGACCACCAGCUAAGGUCCCAAAAUAUAUGUUAAGUGGAAAAGGAUGUGGCGUUGCCCAGACAACUAGGAUGUUGGCUUAGAAGCAGCCAUCAUUUAAAGAGUGCGUAAUAGCUCACUAGUCGAGUGACACUGCGCCGAAAAUGUACCGGGGCUAAACAUAUUACCGAAGCUGUGGAUUGUCCUUUGGACAAUGGUAGGAGAGCGUUCUAAGGGCGUUGAAGCAUGAUCGUAAGGACAUGUGGAGCGCUUAGAAGUGAGAAUGCCGGUGUGAGUAGCGAAAGACGGGUGAGAAUCCCGUCCACCGAUUGACUAAGGUUUCCAGAGGAAGGCUCGUCCGCUCUGGGUUAGUCGGGUCCUAAGCUGAGGCCGACAGGCGUAGGCGAUGGAUAACAGGUUGAUAUUCCUGUACCACCUAUAAUCGUUUUAAUCGAUGGGGGGACGCAGUAGGAUAGGCGAAGCGUGCGAUUGGAUUGCACGUCUAAGCAGUAAGGCUGAGUAUUAGGCAAAUCCGGUACUCGUUAAGGCUGAGCUGUGAUGGGGAGAAGACAUUGUGUCUUCGAGUCGUUGAUUUCACACUGCCGAGAAAAGCCUCUAGAUAGAAAAUAGGUGCCCGUACCGCAAACCGACACAGGUAGUCAAGAUGAGAAUUCUAAGGUGAGCGAGCGAACUCUCGUUAAGGAACUCGGCAAAAUGACCCCGUAACUUCGGGAGAAGGGGUGCUCUUUAGGGUUAACGCCCAGAAGAGCCGCAGUGAAUAGGCCCAAGCGACUGUUUAUCAAAAACACAGGUCUCUGCUAAACCGUAAGGUGAUGUAUAGGGGCUGACGCCUGCCCGGUGCUGGAAGGUUAAGAGGAGUGGUUAGCUUCUGCGAAGCUACGAAUCGAAGCCCCAGUAAACGGCGGCCGUAACUAUAACGGUCCUAAGGUAGCGAAAUUCCUUGUCGGGUAAGUUCCGACCCGCACGAAAGGCGUAACGAUUUGGGCACUGUCUCAACGAGAGACUCGGUGAAAUCAUAGUACCUGUGAAGAUGCAGGUUACCCGCGACAGGACGGGAAGACCCCGUGGAGCUUUACUGUAGCCUGAUAUUGAAAUUCGGCACAGCUUGUACAGGAUAGGUAGGAGCCUUUGAAACGUGAGCGCUAGCUUACGUGGAGGCGCUGGUGGGAUACUACCCUAGCUGUGUUGGCUUUCUAACCCGCACCACUUAUCGUGGUGGGAGACAGUGUCAGGCGGGCAGUUUGACUGGGGCGGUCGCCUCCUAAAAGGUAACGGAGGCGCUCAAAGGUUCCCUCAGAAUGGUUGGAAAUCAUUCAUAGAGUGUAAAGGCAUAAGGGAGCUUGACUGCGAGACCUACAAGUCGAGCAGGGUCGAAAGACGGACUUAGUGAUCCGGUGGUUCCGCAUGGAAGGGCCAUCGCUCAACGGAUAAAAGCUACCCCGGGGAUAACAGGCUUAUCUCCCCCAAGAGUUCACAUCGACGGGGAGGUUUGGCACCUCGAUGUCGGCUCAUCGCAUCCUGGGGCUGUAGUCGGUCCCAAGGGUUGGGCUGUUCGCCCAUUAAAGCGGUACGCGAGCUGGGUUCAGAACGUCGUGAGACAGUUCGGUCCCUAUCCGUCGUGGGCGUAGGAAAUUUGAGAGGAGCUGUCCUUAGUACGAGAGGACCGGGAUGGACAUACCUCUGGUGUACCAGUUGUCGUGCCAACGGCAUAGCUGGGUAGCUAUGUAUGGACGGGAUAAGUGCUGAAAGCAUCUAAGCAUGAAGCCCCCCUCAAGAUGAGAUUUCCCAACUUCGGUUAU
rnacentral:rRNA from 1 species